rnacentral:rRNA from 1 species
UACGUAGGUGACAAGCGUUGUCCGGAAUUAUUGGGCGUAAAGGGAGCGCAGGCGGUUGGAAUAGUCUGAUGUGAAAGCCCACGGCUUAACCGUGGAAGGUCAUUGGAAACUGUCCAACUUGAAUGCAGAAGAGGUAAGUGGAAUUCCAUGUGUAGCGGUGAAAUGCGUAGAUAUAUGGAGGAACACCAGUGGCGAAGGCGACUUACUGGUCUGUAAUUGACGCUGAGGCUCGAAAGCGUGGGUAG